rnacentral:rRNA from 1 species
CCUACGGGAGGCUGCAGUGGGGAAUAUUGGACAAUGGGCGAAAGCCUGAUCCAGCCAUGCCGCGUGUGUGAAGAAGGCCUUCGGGUUGUAAAGCACUUUCAGUGGGGAAGAAAGCCUUGGGGCUAAUACCCUCGAGGAAGGACAUCACCCACAGAAGAAGCACCGGCUAACUCCGUGCCAGCAGCCGCGGUAAUACGGAGGGUGCGAGCAUUAAUCGGAAUUACUGGGCGUAAAGCGCGCGUAGGCGGUCUGAUAAGCCGGUUGUGAAAGCCCCGGGCUCAACCUGGGAACGGCAUCCGGAACUGUCAGGCUAGAGUGCAGGAGAGGAAGGUAGAAUUCCCGGUGUAGCGGUGAAAUGCGUAGAGAUCGGGAGGAAUACCAGUGGCGAAGGCGGCCUUCUGGACUGACACUGACGCUGAGGUGCGAAAGCGUGGGUAGCAAACAGGAUUAGAUACCCUAGUAGUC